rnacentral:rRNA from 1 species
UGCCAGCCGCCGCGGUAAUACGAAGGGCCCGAGCGUUGCGCGGAAUCACUGGGCUUAAAGCGUACGUAGGCGGAUGCGCAGGCGUUUUGUGAAAGCCCUCGGCUCAACCGAGGAAUUGCUUGACGAACCGCGUGUCUUGAGGCAAGUAGGGGCUGUCGGAACGAUAGGUGGAGUGGUGAAAUGCGUUGAUAUCUAUCGGAACGCCGAAGGAGAAAUCAGGCAGCUGGGCUUGUCCUGACGCUGAGGUACGCAAGCGUGGUGAGCAAACAGGAUUAGAUA